rnacentral:rRNA from 1 species
UAACGCGAAGAACCUUACCAGGUCUUGACAUACUAUGCAAAUCUAAGAGAUUAGACGUUCCCUUCGGGGACAUGGAUACAGGUGGUGCAUGGUUGUCGUCAGCUCGUGUCGUGAGAUGUUGGGUUAAGUCCCGCAACGAUCGCAACCCUUAUUAUCAGUUGCCAGCAUUAAGUUGGGCACUCUGGUGAGACUGCCGGUGACAAACCGGAGGAAGGUGGGGAUGACGUCAAAUCAUCAUGCCCCUUAUGACCUGGGCUACACACGUGCUACAAUGGAUGGUACAACGAGUUGCGAACUCGCGAGAGUAAGCUAAUCUCUUAAAGCCAUUCUCAGUUCGGAUUGUAGGCUGCAACUCGCCUACAUGAAGUCGGAAUCGCUAGUAAUCGCGGAUCAGC